rnacentral:rRNA from 1 species
AGGUGCUGCAUGGCUGUCGUCAGCUCGUGUCGUGAGAUGUUGGGUUAAGUCCCGCAACGAGCGCAACCCCCUGCCCUUAGUUGCCAGCGGUUCGGCCGGGAACUCUAGGGGGACUGCCGGUGAUAAACCGGAGGAAGGUGGGGAUGACGUCAAGUCAUCAUGGCCUUUAUGUCCAGGGCUACACACGUGCUACAAUGGGCGGUACAAAGGGCUGCGAUACCGCGAGGUGGAGCCAAUCCCAAAAAACCGUCCUCAGUUCGGAUUGCAGUCUGCAACUCGACUGCAUGAAGGUGGAAUCGCUAGUAAUCGCAGAUCAGCACGCUGCGGUGAAUACGUUCCCGGGCCUUGUACACACCGCCCGUCACAUCACGAAAGUUAGCUGCUCUGGAAGUCGCUGAGCUAACCGCAAGGAAGCAGGUGCCGAUAGAGUGGCUG